rnacentral:rRNA from 1 species
UGGGGAAUUUUGGACAAUGGGCGAAAGCCUGAUCCAGCAAUGCCGCGUGUGUGAAGAAGGCCUUCGGGUUGUAAAGCACUUUUGUCCGGAAAGAAAUCCUUGGCUCUAAUACAGUCGGGGGAUGACGGUACCGGAAGAAUAAGCACCGGCUAACUACGUGCCAGCAGCCGCGGUAAUACGUAGGGUGCAAGCGUUAAUCGGAAUUACUGGGCGUAAAGCGUGCGCAGGCGGUUUGCUAAGACCGAUGUGAAAUCCCCGGGCUCAACCUGGGAACUGCAUUGGUGACUGGCAGGCUAGAGUACGGCAGAGGGGGGUAGAAUUCCACGUGUAGCAGUGAAAUGCGUAGAGAUGUGGAGGAAUACCGAUGGCGAAGGCAGCCCCCUGGGCCAAUACUGACGCUCAUGCACGAAAGCGUGGGGAGCAAACAGGAUUAGAUACCCUGGUAGUCCACGCCCUAAAACGAUGUCAACUAGUUGUUGGGGAUUCAUUUCCUUAGUAACGUAGCUAACGCGUGAAGUUGACCGCCUGGGGAGUACGGUCGCAAGAUUAAAACUCAAAGGAAUUGACGGGGUCAUAGCUGUUUCCU